rnacentral:tRNA from 1 species
GGAAGGUUGGCAGAGCCAGGUUUAUUGCACCUCUUUGCUAAAGAGGCAUUGCCUAAAAGCAAUCAUGAGUUCAAAUCUCAUACCUUCCUCCA